CGAAGCGUGCGAUUGGAUUGCACGUCUAAGCAGUAAGGCUGAGUAUUAGGCAAAUCCGGUACUCGUUAAGGCUGAGCUGUGAUGGGGAGAAGACAUUGUGUCUUCGAGUCGUUGAUUUCACACUGCCGAGAAAAGCCUCUAGAUAGAAAAUAGGUGCCCGUACCGCAAACCGACACAGGUAGUCAAGAUGAGAAUUCUAAGGUGAGCGAGCGAACUCUCGUUAAGGAACUCGGCAAAAUGACCCCGUAACUUCGGGAGAAGGGGUGCUCUUUAGGGUUAACGCCCAGAAGAGCCGCAGUGAAUAGGCCCAAGCGACUGUUUAUCAAAAACACAGGUCUCUGCUAAACCGUAAGGUGAUGUAUAGGGGCUGACGCCUGCCCGGUGCUGGAAGGUUAAGAGGAGUGGUUAGCUUCUGCGAAGCUACGAAUCGAAGCCCCAGUAAACGGCGGCCGUAACUAUAACGGUCCUAAGGUAGCGAAAUUCCUUGUCGGGUAAGUUCCGACCCGCACGAAAGGCGUAACGAUUUGGGCACUGUCUCAACGAGAGACUCGGUGAAAUCAUAGUACCUGUGAAGAUGCAGGUUACCCGCGACAGGACGGAAAGACCCCGUGGAGCUUUACUGUAGCCUGAUAUUGAAAUUCGGCACAGCUUGUACAGGAUAGGUAGGAGCCUUUGAAACGUGAGCGCUAGCUUACGUGGAGGCGCUGGUGGGAUACUACCCUAGCUGUGUUGGCUUUCUAACCCGCACCACUUAUCGUGGUGGGAGACAGUGUCAGGCGGGCAGUUUGACUGGGGCGGUCGCCUCCUAAAAGGUAACGGAGGCGCUCAAAGGUUCCCUCAGAAUGGUUGGAAAUCAUUCAUAGAGUGUAAAGGCAUAAGGGAGCUUGACUGCGAGACCUACAAGUCGAGCAGGGUCGAAAGACGGACUUAGUGAUCCGGUGGUUCCGCAUGGAAGGGCCAUCGCUCAACGGAUAAAAGCUACCCCGGGGAUAACAGGCUUAUCUCCCCCAAGAGUUCACAUCGACGGGGAGGUUUGGCACCUCGAUGUCGGCUCAUCGCAUCCUGGGGCUGUAGUCGGUCCCAAGGGUUGGGCUGUUCGCCCAUUAAAGCGGUACGCGAGCUGGGUUCAGAACGUCGUGAGACAGUUCGGUCCCUAUCCGUCGUGGGCGUAGGAAAUUUGAGAGGAGCUGUCCUUAGUACGAGAGGACCGGGAUGGACAUACCUCUGGUGUACCAGUUGUCGUGCCAACGGCAUAGCUGGGUAGCUAUGUGUGGACGGGAUAAGUGCUGAAAGCAUCUAAGCAUGAAGCCCCCCUCAAGAUGAGAUUUCCCAACUUCGGUUAUAAGAUCCCUCAAAGAUGAUGAGGUUAAUAGGUUCGAGGUGGAAGCAUGGUGACAUGUGGAGCUGACGAAUACUAAUCGAUCGAAGACUUAAUCAA
rnacentral:rRNA from 1 species